rfam:Triticum aestivum genome assembly, contig: Triticum_aestivum_CS42_TGACv1_scaffold_149484_2BS
CAUAUACUCCCUCCGUCCAAAAAUACUUGUCAUCAAAAUAGAUAAAAGAGAUGUAUCUAGAACUAAAAUAUGUCCCAUUUUGAUGACAAGUAUUUCCAGACGGAGGGAGUAUAUU